UGUCAGUCUUAGGAUCUCUGUUUUAAUGUUAAUGCUGGUCACUUGUACCUGAACUUCCUAAGAGAGAGGGUAUAGUGAGGAUUUUCUCCAGGUGGGUUUGACUGCACCAGAUGUUCACAGAGAGGACUGGGGAGAAUCCUGGGGAAGCUGUUCCCAGGUGCUGUCUGGGAGAGGGUAGGAGCCACCACUGCAAGAAUCCCACCCAGACUCAUCUCCCCAUCGCACCACGGAGAACAAAAGCCAUGGACAUGACACAGCAUUUUUAUUAGGCUUAAUGUUCCAGGCCAGGCACGGUGGCUCAUGCCUGUAAUCCCAGCACUUCAGGAAGCCGAGAACAAGCAAUUCUGAACAUUCUGCAAGCCAGCGGCAGAUGUGUAGAGGGCACACUGCUGAUUCUGUAAAUAGAAUCUUGAAAUGUGACAAAAUACAGGAUUUAUAAAUGGCAAUGGUUUGCCUGGGAGACUUCAGCAUUUCCAAGGGCUUCCCAG
rnacentral:lncRNA from 1 species